GAUGAACGCUGGCGGCGUGCCUAAUACAUGCAAGUCGAGCGAACAGACGAGGAUCUUGCUCCUCUUACGUUAGCGGCGGACGGGUGAGUAACACGUGGAUAACCUACCUUUAAGACUGGGAUAACUUCGGGAACCCGGAGCUAAUACCGGAUAUUAUAUUGAACCGCAUGGUUCAUUAGUGAAAGCCGGUUUUGCUGUCCCUUAUAGAUGUUUCCGCGCCGCAUUAGUUAGUUGGUAAGGUAACGGCCUACCAAGGCAACGAUGCGUCGCUGACCUGAGAGGAGGAUCAGGCACACGAGGAAGUAGACACGGGCCAGACGCCUACGGGAGGCAGCAGGGGGGAAGAGUGGACAAUGGGCGAAAACCUGAUCCAGCAAUGCCGCGUGGGAGAAAAAGGUCUUCGGAUUGUAAAGCACUUUAAGGUGGGAGGAAGGGCAGUAAGUGAAUACCUUGCUGUUUGGACGGUACCAAAAGAAUAAGCACCGGCUAACUUCGUG
rnacentral:rRNA from 1 species